rnacentral:lncRNA from 1 species
UUUAGGAACUGCUGGAAGGCUCUAGGGGAAUAAAGAUGGAAUGACUUCUAAUUUUUAGGUCCGUAUGAUCUGAAAUACUUGCACACAAACCUCGAGAAAGCAUUCCUGGAAAUCUCGGCCCAAAAAAGGACGUUUAGUAAUUCUAAAAGGGACUACAAGAUGAAAAACAAUAGUUUUGCCAGUUAAAGUUUGAGAUUCGAUGGUGCCGUAGAUCCGUUUGGUCAUCAGGUGUUACGAGCCACACCCAUGUCUAGCUAGAAUAGUGUGUCAGGCUCAGGCUAGAGAAGAAACAGGGUACAAACUGAUGAAAGAAUUAUCAUACCGAGGGAAUUCACUCAGAACUAACAAGAAUGAUAACGUGCUCCGACUGGAGCGGUUUAGGAACUGCUGGAAACCUCUAGGGGAAUAAAGAUGGAAUGACUUCUAAUUUUUAGGUCCGUAUGGUUUGAAAUACUUGCACACAAACCGCCCGAAAGCAUUCCUAGAAAUCUCGGCCCAAAAAAUGACGUUUAGUAAUUCUAAAUGGGAAUACAAGAUGAAAAACAAUAGUUUUGGCAGUUAAAGUUUGAGAUUCGAUGGUGUCGUAGAUCCAUUUGGUCAUCAGGUGUUACGAGCCACACCCAUGUCUAGCUAGAAUAGUGUGUCAGGCUCAGGCUAGAGAAGAAACGGGGAACAAACUGAUGAAAGAAUUAUCAUAACGAGGGAAUUCACUCAGAACUAACAAGAAUGAUAACGUGCUCCGACUGGAGCGGUUUAGGAACUUCUGGAAGCCUCUAGGGGAAUAAAGAUGGAAUGACUUCUAAUUUUUAGGUCCGUACGAUUUGAAAUACUUGCACACAAACCCCAAGAAAGCGUUUCUGGAAAUCUCGGCCCAAAAAAGGACGUUUAGUAAUUCUAAAAGGGACUACAGGAUGAAAAACAAUAGUUUUGCCAGUUAAAGUUUGAGAUUCGAUGGUGCCGUAGAUCCGUUUGGUCAUCAGGUGUUACGAGCCACACCCAUGUCUAGCUAGAAUAGUGUGUCAGGCUCAGGCUAGAGAAGAAACAGGGUACAAACUGAUGAAAGAAUUAUCAUACCGAGGGAAUUCACUCAGAACUAACAAGAAUGAUAACGUGCUCCGACUGGAGCAGUUUAGGAACGGCUUGAA